rnacentral:lncRNA from 1 species
ACAGUAUGCUGGGAGCUUUGGCAAUUGGUGAUAUGGCAUAGCGGAUAGUGGGCAGUGGUGGACGGUUGGUGAUGAGGGCCGAAUAGUGAAAAAUUUUAAAAAAAAAUUUAGAAAAUAUAGGGGAUCUGCCCCUUUCAUGGUUGCUCUAGUCAUUAGUCAAUCACCAGCGGCCUUGACCUUUGAAAAGGAUGGUGGGGGGUUGGGCGACAUGAGUUGGGUUGUGGCACCAAGAGAUAGUGAUGACG